UACAGAGGUCUCAAGCGUUGUUCGGAUUCAUUGGGCGUAAAGGGUGCGUAGGUGGCGCCGUAAGUCAGGUGUGAAAUCUCGGGGCUUAACUCCGAAACUGCAUUUGAUACUGCGGUGCUUGAGGACUGGAGAGGAGACUGGAAUUUACGGUGUAGCAGUGAAAUGCGUAGAGAUCGUAAGGAAGACCAGUGGCGAAGGCGGGUCUCUGGACAGUGCCUGACACUGAGGCACGAAGGCCAGGGGAGCAAACGGG
rnacentral:rRNA from 1 species